GGAAUCUGGGAGGACCAUCUCCUAAGGCUAAAUACUCUCUAGUGACCGAUAGUGAACCAGUACCGUGAGGGAAAGGUGAAAAGCACCCCGGAAGGGGAGUGAAAUAGAACCUGAAACCGUGUGCUUACAAGUAGUCAGAGCCCGUUAAUGGGUGAUGGCGUGCCUUUUGUAGAAUGAACCGGCGAGUUACGAUUUGAUGCAAGGUUAAGCAGUAAAUGUGGAGCCGUAGCGAAAGCGAGUCUGAAUAGGGCGUUUAGUAUUUGGUCGUAGACCCGAAACCAGGUGAUCUACCCUUGGUCAGGUUGAAGUUCAGGUAACACUGAAUGGAGGACCGAACCGACUUACGUUGAAAAGUGAGCGGAUGAACUGAGGGUAGCGGAGAAAUUCCAAUCGAACCUGGAGAUAGCUGGUUCUCUCCGAAAUAGCUUUAGGGCUAGCCUCAAGUGAUGAUUAUUGGAGGUAGAGCACUGUUUGGACGAGGGGCCCCUCUCGGGUUACCGAAUUCAGACAAACUCCGAAUGCCAAUUAAUUUAACUUGGGAGUCAGAACAUGGGUGAUAAGGUCCGUGUUCGAAAGGGAAACAGCCCAGACCACCAGCUAAGGUCCCAAAAUAUAUGUUAAGUGGAAAAGGAUGUGGCGUUGCCCAGACAACUAGGAUGUUGGCUUAGAAGCAGCCAUCAUUUAAAGAGUGCGUAAUAGCUCACUAGUCGAGUGACACUGCGCCGAAAAUGUACCGGGGCUAAACAUAUUACCGAAGCUGUGGAUUGUCCUUUGGACAAUGGUAGGAGAGCGUUCUAAGGGCGUUGAAGCAUGAUCGUAAGGACAUGUGGAGCGCUUAGAAGUGAGAAUGCCGGUGUGAGUAGCGAAAGACGGGUGAGAAUCCCGUCCACCGAUUGACUAAGGUUUCCAGAGGAAGGCUCGUCCGCUCUGGGUUAGUCGGGUCCUAAGCUGAGGCCGACAGGCGUAGGCGAUGGAUAACAGGUUGAUAUUCCUGUACCACCUAUAAUCGUUUUAAUCGAUGGGGGGACGCAGUAGGAUAGGCGGAGCGUGCGAUUGGAUUGCACGUCUAAGCAGUAAGGCUGAGUAUUAGGCAAAUCCGGUACUCGUUAAGGCUGAGCUGUGAUGGGGAGAAGACAUUGAGUCUUCGAGUCGUUGAUUUCACACUGCCGAGAAAAGCCUCUAGAUAGAAAAUAGGUGCCCGUACCGCAAACCGACACAGGUAGUCAAGAUGAGAAUUCUAAGGUGAGCGAGCGAACUCUCGUUAAGGAACUCGGCAAAAUGACCCCGUAACUUCGGGAGAAGGGGUGCUCUUUAGGGUUAACGCCCAGAAGAGCCGCAGUGAAUAGGCCCAAGCGACUGUUUAUCAAAAACACAGGUCUCUGCUAAACCGUAAGGUGAUGUAUAGGGGCUGACGCCUGCCCGGUGCUGGAAGGUUAAGAGGAGUGGUUAGCUUCUGCGAAGCUACGAAUCGAAGCCCCAGUAAACGGCGGCCGUAACUAUAACGGUCCUAAGGUAGCGAAAUUCCUUGUCGGGUAAGUUCCGACCCGCACGAAAGGCGUAACGAUUUGGGCACUGUCUCAACGAGAGACUCGGUGAAAUCAUAGUACCUGUGAAGAUGCAGGUUACCCGCGACAGGACGGAAAGACCCCGUGGAGCUUUACUGUAGCCUGAUAUUGAAAUUCGGCACAGCUUGUACAGGAUAGGUAGGAGCCUUUGAAACGUGAGCGCUAGCUUACGUGGAGGCGCUGGUGGGAUACUACCCUAGCUGUGUUGGCUUUCUAACCCGCACCACUUAUCGUGGUGGGAGACAGUGUCAGGCGGGCAGUUUGACUGGGGCGGUCGCCUCCUAAAAGGUAACGGAGGCGCUCAAAGGUUCCCUCAGAAUGGUUGGAAAUCAUUCAUAGAGUGUAAAGGCAUAAGGGAGCUUGACUGCGAGACCUACAAGUCGAGCAGGGUCGAAAGACGGACUUAGUGAUCCGGUGGUUCCGCAUGGAAGGGCCAUCGCUCAACGGAUAAAAGCUACCCCGGGGAUAACAGGCUUAUCUCCCCCAAGAGUUCACAUCGACGGGGAGGUUUGGCACCUCGAUGUCGGCUCAUCGCAUCCUGGGGCUGUAGUCGGUCCCAAGGGUUGGGCUGUUCGCCCAUUAAAGCGGUACGCGAGCUGGGUUCAGAACGUCGUGAGACAGUUCGGUCCCUAUCCGUCGUGGGCGUAGGAAAUUUGAGAGGAGCUGUCCUUAGUACGAGAGGACCGGGAUGGACAUACCUCUGGUGUACCAGUUGUCGUGCCAACGGCAUAGCUGGGUAGCUAUGUGUGGACGGGAUAAGUGCUGAAAGCAUCUAAGCAUGAAGCCCCCCUCAAGAUGAGAUUUCCCAACUUCGGUUAUAAGAUCCCUCAAAGAUGAUGAGGUUAAUAGGUUCGAGGUGGAAGCAUGGUGACAUGUGGAGCUGACGAAUACUAAUCGAUCGAAGACUUAAUCAA
rnacentral:rRNA from 1 species